rnacentral:rRNA from 1 species
AGUGAACGCUGGCGGUAGGCCUAACACAUGCAAGUCGAACGGCAGCACAUUAAGAGCUUGCUCUUACGGGUGGCGAGUGGCGGACGGGUGAGGAAUACAUCGGAAUCUACUUUUUCGUGGGGGAUAACGUAGGGAAACUUUCGCUAAUACCGCCUACUACCUACGGGUGAAAGCAGGGGAUCUUCGGACCUUGCGCGAUUGAAUGAGCCGAUGUCGGAUUAGCUAGUUGGCGGGGUAAAGGCCCACCAAGGCGACGAUCCGUAGCUGGUCUGAGAGGAUGAUCAGCCACACUGGAACUGAGACACGGUCCAGACUCCUACGGGAGGCAGCAGUGGGGAAUAUUGGACAAUGGGCGCAAGCCUGAUCCAGCCAUACCGCGUGGGUGAAGAAGGCCUUCGGGUUGUAAAGCCCUUUUGUUGGGAAAGAAAAGCAGCAGGUUAAUACCCCGCUGUUCUGACGGUACCCAAAGAAUAAGCACCGGCUAACUUCGUG